GCCAAGCCUGUGGGGUCGUUGCUUCAACCCUACAGCACACACAUACACCAAUUGAUGAAUGGCCUGCUGAAUUAAUAUUUUGUUUCUCUUGCUUUGUUGGUUCUUUUCCAUAUUAUGUCUCUCUCUGAUCAGCUACCCAGGAAAUGACCGAAAACAGACCAUAUUAAUACAUGUAGCCUUAGAAAUAAGGUUCAUGAAAUCAAUAACUUGCUAACAUCAGAUAACAUUCAUAUAUGAGCCAUUUCUGAGACUCACUUGGAUAAUUCAUUUGAUGAUACAGCAGUAGCAAUACAAUGAUAUAACAUCUAUAGAAGAGACAGGAAUGCUUAUGGGGGAGGUGUUGUAUAUAUUCAGAGCCAUAUCCCUGUAAUGUUUAUAGGGGAGGUGUUGCUGUAUAUAUUCAGAGCCAUAUCCCUGUAAUGUUAAUAGAGGAGGUGUUGUAUAUAUUCAGAGCCAUAUCCCUGUAAUGUUUAUAGGGGAGGUGUUGUAUAUAUUCAGAGUCAUAUCCCUGUAAUGUUUAUAGGGGAGGUGUUACUGUACAUAGUCAGAGCCAUAUCCCUGUAAUGUUUAUAGGGGAGGUGUUGCUGUAUAUAUUCAGUCAUAUCCCUGUAAUGUUUAUAGGGGAGGUGUUGUAUAUAUUCAGA
ensembl:lncRNA